rnacentral:rRNA from 1 species
UAGGGAAUCUUCGGCAAUGGGGGGAACCCUGACCGAGCAACGCCGCGUGAGUGAAGAAGGUUCUCGGAUCGUAAAGCUCUGUUGUUAAGGAAGAACGAGUGUGAGAAUGGAAAGUUCAUACUGUGACGGUACUUAACCAGAAAGGGACGGCUAACUACGUGCCAGCAGCCGCGGUAAUACGUAGGUCCCGAGCGUUGUCCGGAUUUAUUGGGCGUAAAGCGAGCGCAGGCGGUUAGAUAAGUCUGAAGUUAAAGGCAGUGGCUCAACCAUUGUAGGCUUUGGAAACUGUUUAACUUGAGUGCAGAAGGGGUGAGUGGAAUUCCAUGUGUAGCGGUGAAAUGCGUAGAUAUAUGGAGGAACACCGGUGGCGAAAGCGGCUCUCUGGUCUGUAACUGACGCUGAGGCUCGAAAGCGUGGGGAGCGAACAGGAUUAGAUACCCUGGUAGUCCACGCCGUAAACGAUGAGUGCUAGGUGUUAGGUCCUUUCCGGGACUUAGUGCCGCAGCUAACGCAUUAAGCACUCCGCCUGGGGAGUACGACCGCAAGGUUG